ensembl:lncRNA
AAGCAGGAGGGACUUUGACUUUAUUCUCCUGUCUGUGGCUUCCACGGUGGCGGCAGGCGAUCCCAGCCUCCUGUGAAUUUGGUGAACCAGCUGACCAUGUCUGGCAAGCCUCCUGUUUCUGGAUCUUUAUCCAAUGCCAGCCACAAGCCCCAGACAUCAUGGCAGGAGCUGAUUCUACAAGGAUGCUCCAGACAUCUUGGGGAGUUGUAGCUCCAAAGCCGAUUGUCACAGACAUCUUUUGGUCUAGUCUUCCUUUAUUAAUGAACAAAUCAUCCCCUGAUGAGCUGUGCUGUGUCCAGGGCUCAGUGUAAGAACCAGUUCUGAUCCGGAAGCACUCCUUCCUGAAUCCCUUUUGAGCCCAGCAGUUUGAUGCUGCUUUGAUCCAGCCACAUCCUCCCUGUCCCAGCUCCCUGUCAGCAUCACUCAUAUGGUCCCCAGAACCUAUUUCCAGCCAAAAUCCUUUCUUCCCUGGCCCACCUAGCAGAAAGUCCCUUGUGAGAGU